UACGUAGGGGGCAAGCGUUGUCCGGAUUUAUUGGGCGUAAAGAGCGUGUAGGCGGCCUGACAGGUCUGCUGUGAAAACUCGAGGCUCAACCUCGAGAUGUCGGCGGAAACCGUCUGGCUAGAGUCCGGAAGAGGAGAGUGGAAUUCCUGGUGUAGCGGUGAAAUGCGCAGAUAUCAGGAGGAACACCGAUGGCGAAGGCAGGUCUCUGGGCCGAUACUGACGCUGAGGAGCGAAAGCGUGGGGAGCGAACAGG
rnacentral:rRNA from 1 species